ACUAUUACAUUAGCAUAAUAAUUAACAAAUAAAGUAAGGGUGUGUUUGGUUCGCUUCUUUUACACCCUAGAAUUGGAAGCAGAAUGGGCGAAUCCGUUUGUGAAUGUUUGGUACGCCGGAGUUCCAUUCCGAUUCUAAUUUUCGAGUGGAAUGAGAAUCAUCCAAUCACUUCUGGAAAUUGUAUCCGAACGGAAUGGUUAUUUAUUCGGAUUAAAUUUAUUUUUUCAACUUUUUUAAUUAAAAUAUGAGUUUAAAUUUAAAAAUUAAAUAUAUAAUUUUAAAUUUUAAUGUGAACUUGUAUUAAAAAUUAAAAUUUAAUCAAGUAUUUCGAAUAUAACUUAUGAAUUUGAAUUUAAAUUAGAUUUUAAUUUAUAUAAAGUUUUAUUCAAAUUUUAUUUAAGACUUAAAUUAAAUUUAUGGAUUCAAAUUAAAAUUUAAAUUGUAAUUUUAAGUUUGAAUUUGAAUAAAUCAAAAUUUAGUUUUAUAUUUUGAAUUAUCCACUCAAUUUCAAAGUUUAAUUAUUUUUUUUAAAAAAAAUAGAUUUAAAAUUUUGACAUUAUUUCAAAAUUUUGUUGUAACUUUUUAAUAUUUAAUUUUUAAUUUGAAUUUAAAUUAAUAUAUUAUAAAGAUAAAGUUAGUAUAUUAUUUUGAUUACAUUUUUUUAUAUCUACCUAAACCAAACACCGACAAUGGGAAUGAUUUGUUCCGAUUUCGAUUCAGGUAAUGAACCAAACAGAAUUAGAUAAUGAGUUAUUCCGAUUCUGAUUCCAGUUUAUUUCGAUUCGGAUUCGGAUUCUGACUUCCAACCAAGUACGUCCUAAGAGUGAUAACUGAGUCGUGGUCUGACAAUCAACUGG
rnacentral:lncRNA from 1 species